rnacentral:rRNA from 1 species
UACGUAGGUGACAAGCGUUGUCCGGAUUUACUGGGCGUAAAGAGCGCGCAGGCGGUCGUUCAAGUCGAGUGUGAAAGCCCCCGGCUCAACUGGGGAGGGUCAUUCGAUACUGAUCGACUCGAAGGCAGGAGAGGGUAGUGGAAUUCCCGGUGUAGUGGUGAAAUGCGUAGAUAUCGGGAGGAACACCAGUGGCGAAGGCGGCUCUCUGGGACGGUACUGACGCUGAGACGCGAAAGCGUGGGGAGCGAACAGG